GGGGAAUAUAUGAGAGUGAACAAUAAAACUAGUGGUUCUUUAAAAAAUAAAAUAAAAACUAGUGGUAAUACGUGAGUGUGCGGUGUCGUGAUAAAUUCGUGAUGUAUUUCUUCUCUAUAUUAAUCAUUACUCUAAAAACCAUGUGAGUAUGAGAGAUAAAGUUGUCUAAAAGUUGUUUAAAAAGUAGUGACAAUAAUUUCCAAUACACUUCAUUUUGAGAGGUCUUUCCACCUUUGGACAAUCAUCGGCAGUAAUGCAACGAACAUGAGCUGCAUUGUCAAAUAAGAAAAAAUAUGUUACUAAAAGUGAUAAAUAUUGUGUAAAAGUAAACCAGAAAACUAUAAAAAUUAAGAGAAAUGAUAUUUGUACAACCAUUUUUUAACAACUUUUAGACAACUUUAUCUCUCAUACUCACAUUAUAUUCUUACUCUCUCUUCCUUUUUCUCUCUCCAUUAUUUUUGACCAAUAAGAAGAGAGAAAAAUGAGAUUAUCAUAAAAGUUGUUAGCAAAUGGUUGUUUAAAUAUCAUUGCUCAAAAAUUAAAAAGGUGUAAAAGGUGUCAUACUCUUUUCCAUUUCAACAAGAAAUGGAGAAAGAAAGAUCAUCAAAACAAAGAUAAAGAAGAGAAAUUGAGUCAUAU
rnacentral:lncRNA from 1 species